GGAGGAAAAAAGGUCUUAAACUCCUAUUAUUAGAAUCCAAUUAAAAAAAACCAAGAACACUAUAGAUAUAUUACUGAAAUACUACAAUAUGCUUACAUUAUACAUAUACUAUCCAAAAUAUACUACAAGAUAUUACAAAAAAUUCAAAAGAAAAGGUUGUUUUCUUUUUCCAAAAAGACUCUUGGGUGUUGAUAUUGAAGUGUUGAUCCAACCCCUCCUCCAUGAUCUUUAGGUUGCCCUACAAAAAGGAAGAUAGGGAGACGGCGCAGACCUUUAAGAGCUAUCAGCAGAUUUGCAGGAGCACUCCAUUAUUCCGGAGAGUACUCAUGGUGCAAAAUGGAAGCUCUAGCCGAAUAAGAGGAGUCAAAGAAUAAAGGUAAGGUUUAACCCCUCCUUUCAUGUAUUAUAGAUGAUUUGUGAGUAUUGUAGGAUGUAGAUACGGAUGAAAUUCAUGACAUUGAUGUAUGUUGGGGAUGGCCGAAUGUAGAGCAUGUUGUGUAGAUGUGAUGAAUUGAUUUUUAUUUAGUAUUUGAUUGUUGUUGUUGUGGAUUAUGGAAGAAGUUAAGGUGACAUUAGUAUAGUUUCUUGUCAUUAUGAGAAUAAAGUUGUUAAUGCAUAGACUAUUAUUAUAGUUUAUGAAUUUGGAAGGAAAGAAUGUGUUGUUGUUGGAUAUGUGGAGUUGAGAAGGAUUCGGGUAGUAGGUAUAAUUCAUGAACUUGAAAGAAGGAAAUGUGUCGCUAUUGUUCUUGUUGAAUUUGGAAGGUUUCGGGUGAAGUAUUAUGUCAGUUGGGUUGUUUGGAAUAUUAUGUGAAUUGUUUGAAGUAUUCUUGAGUCAUGUUAGAAAGAUUUCGGAUUAAUACUUGAAUGUGGGAUUAUUGGUAUUGGCUUGAUUAUAUGUGAUUGAAUUGAAUAUAAAUGAAUGUCGUUGAAUUGUGUGACGAAGGUUAUUAAUGUUAGAAUAUGUUUUGGAUUGAUUGUUGAAGUUAAUGGUAUGAUUGUUGAUAUUGUUGUUGGUAAAUUGGCCGAGUUGAAUUCUUGGAUUGUUGAUUGUUGAUUUGAUCGAGUUAGAUUCUCGGGGAUGGUGUAUUUACAGGGGAAAUGCUGCCAAAAUUUCGAUAGAAUAUAAGUGAAGUUAUGUGAGAAACUAAGGCAAACGUAUGACGACAAAUCUAAUGAUUGUGUGAAUUCCUUGAAUGUAGACUAACGAUCUUGGACAAUUAAGCGUAGCUAAUAGGACGUGGAGCAGGUAUGUAAGGCUUACUCUUUCUUUCUUUUGGCAUGAUCUUUGUGAAACGAACAGACAAUAUGUAUAUGAUUCCAAAGAAACUCCUAUUCUUAGAGCCACUAGGAUGGCUAAUAUUCUUGACUUCCAUAAGCUACUUCAUAUAGUUUUGAUGCGUAUCCAUGAUGUCCAAAGUCCUAUUUGAUAUGUUUCCGAAUGGCAUUCGAAAGAUAAUUUAUAUGACUAAAGUUAUGAUUUUCAAAUGCUAGCACGUUCGAUUAUUCCCUUGAGUCUUUGAUACACUUUGAUACGUACAUAUGGUUCCUAAAGCUCUAUUUGAUUUGACCCGUAUCGAUAUCCGAAAGAUACUUGCUAUGAUUGUUGCUUUGAUUUUCCAAAAAUGGCUUCUGAAACGUUCGUAGAAGGUUUUGUACUACAAACGCUCAUAACUUUCUUAUACUAAGUCGGAUUGACCCGAAACUUGUUUCUGAGCCUUCAGAUGUCGGUAAGUGUACGUAUCUAUCGAGUCUUGAUUUAUGUGCAUAUAGUUUCUCACUACUCUGCUCGUGCAUGUGUCAUUACUUCUUUCGCCGAGUCCCGGGCCGGUAUGCAUCGUGCGUAUGGUUCGCCGGGUCCCCCGCUUGAGGGUCGGGUGCCAUAUAUGUAUUCCGGAGUUAGAUGUGUUACGGUGUUAUGAUGUGUUUAUGGUUCGCCGAACCACAUAUGAUGUGAUAUUAUGAUGUGAUAUUAUGAUGUGUGACGGAGAUUACGGAGCAAAUCUUCUGGAGUAUGAUGUGUAUGGCGCCAAAGGCAGGGUGGCGCCACGUUCCCCGGGUCCCGCAAGGGACCGGAUACCGUUCUUGGCAUGCAUGGUUUGUGUUUUAAGUACACCCAGAUGAGUAGAAGACUUUGCUAGAAGGUGUUUCAGCAGGAUUGGCGAACUCCACUUCCUUCCGGAGUGUUGCCGAGUCAGAGCGUAUAUAAGUUGUGAUUUCUGAUUUGUGUUAGAGGCUUUACAGACAGAGUCGUGGGUACAGAACAUCAGUUUUGUAAGCGGCUUCAUCAGCCGAUGUGACAUUUUGUGAUAUGUUACGGAUCCCAUAUGAUUACAGAUUUUUUUUAUUUGAGAAUAAUAGAAAGAAAGUUUCUGAAAGCCUUACUAUGUGUGUCAUGUUUAUUUGAUUUGAAAGUCUGAAAAGAGUAUGUAUGUAAUAAGAGUCAGAGGGUUCGCUCGGCUCCGAAUAUGGGGUCGGGUGCCCAUCACACCCUAGUAAGGUUAGGGUGUGACAGGGGUCUCAUCCCGUCUAUAUGUCUAGUACUCUAGUAGAGGCUCGUAGAUACGUAUGUGUGGGUAGUAUGGUCUCAUGAUGCUACUAUGGUGUAUAUGUAAUUAUUUUGAUAGCCGA